rnacentral:lncRNA from 1 species
GACAAGAAAAGUAUUCCUCUCGUUAUUCGGGUGGGCGCCUGGCUUCAACAACAACUUUGAAAAUAAAAUCCUAUUCGAGGGCGGAUGAACCCAAAAUAUCCUAUUCGAGGGCGGAUGAACCCACAAUAUCCUAUUCGAGGGCGGAUGAACCCAAAAUACCUAUUCGAGGGCGGAUGAACCCAAAAUAUCCUUAAGACUUGAAAAUGUCUUACCUCGAAUACUUGCUGGGAAUAACACUGUUGGGGAAUUAUUUACUUACCUGUUGGGGGG